GUCCGGACCGGGCUGCCUGCGUCCGCUCCACUCGGCGCCGCGCCCCGCGCCCCGCGCCCGACCGUCGCUUCCCGCCUCCCCGCAGCUCCCUCCCCGCAACCCGCGGCGCGUGCGCACGAGAGUUACGCGGGGCAUCCUCGGGCGCCCAGACCCGGAGUUUGUUCGGCCUACCCGACCGGCGCUCUUGCGUCCGACAGACCCAGAAUACCGGGAGCACAGGGCGCCCUCCCCGCGCUUCCAUCCAGCGGGGCACCGGGCGCGUCCACUCUGAAUUCCCGUACUAGGGCGUCGCGGGAGACCACUGCGGCAGUGACGUCAGCUGAUCUCGGGGGCUCGAUCCUCCCGCUACCUCACAGUUUAUGCCCUACCAAGGCAAGGCUCCAGUGGCUUCCCUUGGCAGGUGAGGCCCCAGGCCUUCCAGGCCUGCAGGGCAGAAAAAGGGACCAAAGACUUCUGUGUGAAGUGAAAUUCUCCUACCAAGAAAAUGAGAAAUGAUGAUAUUGAGAAGACAAAGGUGGCAAAGAGACCAAAAGUUCCCCUGGCCAACCAUCGCCCUUCUUUGUUAGUGUUUGCUGGUUAAUAUGUAGGAAAAGCUUUCAACCUGUUUUGAAGAGACAAGGCCCAGCCACUUUGAAGAAGAAAAUCUGCUUAAAAUCUACAGAUUAUAAGUGUUCGCAGCAUCUUCACCUUUGUUGGGCCAAACAACUGGAUGUUACAGCCUAACGAACACAUAAAAUGAACCACCACAGAGAGAAACUUUAAACUUAAGUAAUGAAAGAAAUCCCAUUACCUAAAGCAACAACAACAAAAGGAAGUCAAGGUUCAUACAAAGGAUUCUUUUAUACUCUUAAAUGCAAGUAUAUUUUACACGAUAAUAUAAUAUAGUAGAAUACACUAGACUUGCAUGUUUAAAAAGAAUGUCCUCUGGAUAUGCAGACUUACAGCAGUUUAACAUGAUCAUGGAACAUAAUCCAGCAUAUUUUAACUAAAUCAGAUGAUUCUAAAAUUGCCCAAAGUAGAUGGUUAGCACAACGCUCUUAUGAGAUGAAAAAAACAAAGUGAAUACGAAUAUGGAUCAAAGAAGCAGAAUCACUGAAAGUGGUGCAAAAGGAAUUUAUUAUAGAGAUUUGUUAUUAUAAUACAGGCUUUCUUAUGGAGAAGCUGGUGUGGUCAGGUUAGGGAGGAAUGAUUACAGGCUUAUAGAAAAGCCACUAACGUGGGAGCAGGGAGGGAAACUGGUAAAGAGUCUUAUGAAAGCCUUCAGCUUCAAUGUCUGGUAGUGAGUGUGAAGUCACUAGUCAGUGAAAAGAAGUAAGAGGCUUGGACACGUGAUCUAUGAGAAAAAAAAAUGGAACCCUUGGUUUUUCCUCACUGUGCCUUACCCCAGUGACCCAGAAGAAGCUGGUACUGUUAGCCAUGGAGCUAGUGCUGGAUACAGAGAAGCUAGAGAUACUGCAAGCCUGGGCUACUACUACUUAACAUGAGGCAAACUGACAGAAUAAGACAUGUGUACAAGUUGCCACAAUACUAGAAUGUUCAUACUCAGUUUGCCUUCGGGAAAUGACUUAGCCGGGAAGGUUCCUUGCCUUAAUGAACUGACCCACCUUUCCUGAGUAGUCUAUUCAUAGAGAGUAUUAUAGUUUACCCACAGAGUCUAUGAGCAGUACCAAGAACAGUCCUAAAGUCUCCUGCGUUUCUUCUUCGGCUGUGUUGCUAUUUAGUUGGCUCAAUCACUCCAGAUAGUAUAAUCAUUCCUUCCUGGCUUUGAGAGUUAACUAGGAGUCCAGAAUGGCCAAGUGGCAGUCUCAACUUCCAAUGUAACUGAAUAUAAGCCCCAGUAGGGAAUUCUCUUCUAGAGUAUUCAGAGGGAGCAAGAAUUCAACUUUGGAUUUAUAGUUUUCAUAACAACGAGGAAUUAAAACACCUGCUGUUUUUGGCACCUAGGUUAUAGCCAUUUGUUAUAGCAGCCCUGGGAGACAUACAGGAAUGAUACUCAGUUCUGAUGCUGGGUCAGAACAGAUUUUAAGAUUCUUCUAGAUUCAUUUCUCUGUGCCAGCGUUAAUAGUGUCCCCUGCUCAUGACAGAGCCGCUGCACAUACACUCACUGCAUUGGAGGCUGCCUGUCCAAGACCAGCACAUGAUCAAGC
ensembl:lncRNA